ensembl:lncRNA
AGCGGGGCUUGGUGUCCGGCUCUGAGCCAGGGCUUGAUGCACCCGGCUACCCCUGCAGCUGGAGGGAUCCCUGAGACCCCAGGAGAGCAGGAGAGGAGGCGCCCGGCCCCGCACGUGGCUGCGGGGGAAGCUGCUGCGGGGGGAUGCGGAGGUCGUCCCAGGAGGCCUGCUCCGGAGAGCCACCUGGCAAGGACCCGAGGCCCUCAGUCCAACAGCCAACAAAAAACUGAAUCCUGCCAACAACCAUGUGAGUGAGCUUGGAGUGGAUCCUGUUCCAGCUGAGCCUUGAGACGAGACUGCAACCCCCACUGACACUUUGACUGCAGCUUGUCAGAAAAGCUGAGUGGACACCUUGAUUGCAAUCUCCUGAGAGAUUCUGUGGCAGAUGACCCCCGUUGGCCCAUGUCUGUAAUCCUGACCCACAGAGACUGUGAGAUCAUCAG